GUAGUCCACGCUGUAAACGAUGGAUACUAGCUGUUUGGCGCAAGCUGAGUGGCUAAGCGAAAGUGAUAAGUAUCCCACCUGGGGAGUACGCACGCAAGUGUGAAACUCAAAGGAAUUGACGGGGGCCCGCACAAGCGGUGGAGCAUGUGGUUUAAUUCGAUGAUACGCGAGGAACCUUACCAAGGUUUAAAUGGGGACUGACAGGUGUAGAGAUACGCCCUUCUUCGGACAGUUUUCAAGGUGCUGCAUGGUUGUCGUCAGCUCGUGCCGUGAGGUGUCAGGUUAAGUCCUAUAACGAGCGCAACCCCUAUUGUUAGUUACCAGCACGUAAAGGUGGGGACUCUAGCAAGACUGCCGGUGUAAACCGUGA
rnacentral:rRNA from 1 species